GAUGAACGCUAGCGGCAGGCCUAACACAUGCAAGUCGAGGGAGAGGUUACCUUCGGGUCACCAAAACCGGCGCACGGGUGCGUAACGCGUAUACAAUCUGCCUUUCACAUAGGGAUAGCCCGAAGAAAUUUGGAUUAAUACCUAAUGGUAUAUAAGAGCGGCAUCGUUUUUAUAUUAAAGCUACGGUGGUGAAAGAUGAGUAUGCGUUCUAUUAGCUAGUUGGAGAGGUAACGGCUCCCCAAGGCGACGAUAGAUAGGGGUUCUGAGAGGGAUGUCCCCCACACUGGUACUGAGAUACGGACCAGACUCCUACGGGAGGCAGCAGUGAGGAAUAUUGGACAAUGGUCGGAAGACUGAUCCAGCCAUGCCGCGUGCAGGAUGAAGGUCCUAUGGAUGGUAAACUGCUUUUGUAAGGGAAGAAUAAGGAGUACGUGUACUUUGAUGACGGUACCUUACGAAUAAGCAUCGGCUAACUCCGUG
rnacentral:rRNA from 1 species